AAAGUUUUAGUAUAAUGUGUUAAAAAGUAUAAACUAUUGUCAAUAGUUAGGUUAAAACUUUA
rnacentral:tRNA from 1 species